rnacentral:lncRNA from 1 species
AGAACAAGUGUUGAACUCUGAAAUAUACAAUGUUCAAAUGGAUUCUACUCUGCCUCUUCCAACAACAAUGCAUGAAUCUCUCAUACCAUUUUACCAAUCAAAUGUUUGUGAUCCAAACAAAGCUGAUAGUGGACUCACUUACAAUAUACCUCUUCAAAGAAAACGUUCUAGAGAUUUUUCCAAUGAAUUAGUCUCUCUACCACCAAAUCAAAAGAACAAAGUUAUCUCCUCUGAAUCAUCAUCAUCAUCAUUUCUUGAUCAAGUUGUCUACCAAUUUCAAAAUCAACAAUCUGAUAUUGAUCGCAUCCUUGCUCAUCAUGUAAUUUUCAUACCUUCACUUAAAUUUCUCUUUUUUUUUUAUAAUUAAUUUUUUUUUUUUUUGAAAAAAAAAAAAAAUGUUGUUCAAACUUCAUGCUCUUCCUCAUCUCCUUCUUAUUCUCCCUUUUCCAUCACCUCAAAAUCUCUCAACACCAAACCAAACUCUCACACAAAACAUAACAACAACAACAACCUUAGCCUACACAAAAAACAUCUUUUCUUUUCAUUCUAAUAUUUUCUCCAUGGCUGUUGAAGCUAGCUACAUGAAUCUCUUGCCUUCUCAUUUACUCACAAAUAGGUACUAUUACAAUUUUGCAAUUUUAUCAUUCUUCAAAUUUUUCGCUAUGAUAUUUUUAACAAUUAUUUGUGGUAAGAAUGAUAAAAUCAUAGUAAACAAUCAUGAUUUUGUCAUAAAUUACAUUUCAAUUUUUAAACAAAAUUGCAGCUAAUUGAAAUAUAUAUUAAACAAUGAUGAAAAUCAUCAUAUGAUUUUGUUGAAACACCAUAGUAUAAUUUUUGAUAAAUUAUGAACUCAUAGAAAAUUCAAACAUUUGUUUGUUGAUAAAACAAAUUAUUUUCUUCAAAUUUGCUAAUACUUAUGUUCCCUUUUGUUUUUUUGUUUGUAUAGGGAAAUAAUAAAAUCAAAUCAACAUCAUUAUCAACAACAAGAACAAGUGUUGAACUCUGAAAUAUACAAUGUUCAAAUGGAUUCUACUCUGCCUCUUCCAACAACAAUGCAUGAAUCUCUCAUACCAUUUUACCAAUCAAAUGUUUGUGAUCCAAACAAAGCUGAUAGUGGACUCACUUACAAUAUACCUCUUCAAAGAAAACGUUCUAGAGAUUUUUCCAAUGAAUUAGUCUCUCUACCACCAAAUCAAAAGAACAAAGUUAUCUCCUCUGAAUCAUCAUCAUCAUCAUUUCUUGAUCAAGUUGUCUACCAAUUUCAAAAUCAACAAUCUGAUAUUG